UACGUAGGGACCAAGCGUUGUUCGGAUUUACUGGGCGUAAAGGGCGCGUAGGCGGCAAUUCAAGUCAGCUGUGAAAUCUCCGGGCUUAACUCGGAACGGUCAGCUGAUACUGCUUUGCUAGAGUGCAGAAGGGGCAAUCGGAAUUCUUGGUGUAGCGGUGAAAUGCGUAGAUAUCGAGAGGAACACCUGCGGCGAAGGCGGGUUGCUGGGCUGACACUGACGCUGAUCUGCGAAAGCUAGGGGAGCAAACAGG
rnacentral:rRNA from 1 species